CCUACGGGAGACAGCAGUGAGGAAUAUUGGUCAAUGGACGAGAGUCUGAACCAGCCAAGUAGCGUGAAGGAUGACUGCCCUAUGGGUUGUAAACUUCUUUUAUAUGGGAAUAAAAUGUUCCACGUGUGGGAUUUUGUAUGUACCCUAUGAAUAAGGAUCGGCUAACUCCGUGCCAGCAGCCGCGGUAAUACGGAGGAUCCGUGCGUUAUCCGGAUUUAUUGGGUUUAAAGGGAGCGUAGGUGGAUUGUUAAGUCAGUUGUGAAAGUUUGCGGCUCAACCGUAAAAUUGCAGUUGAAACUGGCAGUCUGGAGUACAGUAGAGGUGGGCGGAAUUCGUGGUGUAGCGGUGAAAUGCUUAGAUAUCACGCAGAACUCCGAUUGCGAAGGCAGCUCACUGGACUGCAACUGACACUGAGGCUCGAAAGUGUGGGUAUCAAACAGGAUUAGAUACCCGGGUAGUC
rnacentral:rRNA from 1 species